AUUGAACGCUGGCGGCAGGCCUAACACAUGCAAGUCGAACGAGUGGCGGACGGGCGAGUAAUGUCUGGGCAACUGCCUGAUGGAGGGGGAUAACUACUGGAAACGGUAGCUACUACCGCAUACCAUCAGAUGUGCCCAGGUGGGAUUAGCUAGUUGGUGGGGUAACGGCUCACCAAGGCGACGAUCCCUAGCUGGUCUGAGAGGAUGACCGGCCACACUGGAACUGAGACACGGUCCAGACUCCUACGGGAGGCAGCAGUGGGGAAUAUUGCGCAAUGGGCGAAAGCCUGAUGCAGCCAUGCCGCGUGUAUGAAGAAGGCCUUCGGGUUGUAAAGUACUUUCAGCGGGGAGGCGGUACCCACAGAAGAAGCACCGGCUAACUCCGUGCCAGCAGCCGCGGUAAUAC
rnacentral:rRNA from 1 species